GAUGAACGCUAGCGGCAGGCUUAACACAUGCAAGUCGAGGGGUAUUGGUUUUCGGACCAAGAGACCGGCGCACGGGUGCGUAACGCGUAUGCAAUCUACCUUUUGCAGAGGGAUAGCCCAGAGAAAUUUGGAUUAAUACCUCAUAGUAUAGUACUUUGGCAUCAAGGAACUAUUAAAGUCACAACGGCAAAGAUGAGCAUGCGUCCCAUUAGCUAGUUGGUAAGGUAACGGCUUACCAAGGCUACGAUGGGUAGGGGUUCUGAGAGGGAGAUCCCCCACACUGGUACUGAGACACGGACCAGACUCCUACGGGAGGCAGCAGUGAGGAAUAUUGGACAAUGGCGCAAGCCUGA
rnacentral:rRNA from 1 species